AUACUUACCUGGUGCCGGGACCUCCAUGAUCACGAAGGUGGAGACCCCAGGAGGAGGCCUCGUCAUUGCACUGCGACGGGGUUGAGACCUGCCACUCUCCCAAACUGGGAAAGAUGGGGCAUGUAAUUUUUGGUAGUGGGGGGUCUGCGUUCGCGCAACCCCCUU
rnacentral:snRNA from 1 species